rnacentral:rRNA from 1 species
AGCUCCAAUAGCGUAUAUUAAAGUUGUUGCGGUUAAAAAGCUCGUAGUUGGAUAUCUGUCGUGAAUGGCCGGUCCGCCCACUGGGUGAGCAUCUGGCGCAGCCAUGACAUUUUCUUGGAGCACGCGCUUGCGCUUCACUGCGCGGCGUGGUAUCCAGGACCUUUACUUUGAAGAAAUUAGAGUGUUUCAAGCAGUCGUACGCCUUGAAUACAUUAGCAUGGAAUAAUCACAUAGGACUCUGGUUCUAUUUUGUUGGUUUCUAGAACCGAAGUAAUGAUUAACAGGGAUAGUUCGGGGCAUUCGUAUUUAAUUGUCAGAGGUGAAAUUCUUGGAUUUAUUAAAGACGGACUACUGCGAAAGCAUUUGCCAGGGAUGUUUUCA